rnacentral:rRNA from 1 species
UACGUAGGUGGCAAGCGUUAUCCGGAUUUACUGGGUGUAAAGGGCGUGUAGGCGGGAGAGCAAGUCAGGCGUGAAAACUCAGGGCUCAACCCUGAGCCUGCGUUUGAAACUGUUCUUCUUGAGUGAUGGAGAGGCAGGCGGAAUUCCGUGUGUAGCGGUGAAAUGCGUAGAUAUACGGAGGAACACCAGUGGCGAAGGCGGCCUGCUGGACAUUAACUGACACUGAGGAGCGAAAGCGUGGGUAGCAAACA